CUAAAAGAAUAUUAUAAUAAGGUAACUAAUAGAACCGCCAUUGACAUUGUGUGGAUAGGGAAGAGGGCUAGUCAGCUGUCCAGGGAUUCUUAUAUUCCAAUUUAUCUUAUUAUUAAUUGGCAUCACGGCUCCGUAGGACUUGAUCACUCCUUAAGGCUCACUCAAAAGGAGCGACGGGAGAGAUUGUUUCGAGACCCUUUCCGGGACUGGUCUUCGUUCUCCUCAACUGGGAUCUGAAGGUUGACGACAAUCCACAGGAUUGAAGACGACUUUGCAGGAAACCAAGUUGGUUGGACCAGGAGACCGGGUCCUAAUUCGAAGCAUCAAAAAGAGGCACUGGCAUUCACCAAAGUGGGAAGGACCGUAUCAACCGUUAUUGACAACUCCAACAGCCCUAAAAAUAGCAGAAAGAAAUACGUGGGUUCAUUUAACACACUGUAAAAGAGUCAUUUCAACUGAGUACUCAAACAGGGAAGAUCAGCAGAAGUCUGAUAACGGAGCGGGAGCAGAUGUGUAGAUUCUGAAAACGCUUGCUGGUCAGUGAAGAAAAAAGACACCAACCCGUUUAGUAAGAACUCAGCAGAAUGGCACACCCACGUUGGUUAUGAGAUUUGAUAAGUUGUUACGUAGCAACUUUGGCUACUAUGGUGUUGGUUUUGUUUAUGUGGUACAUGGGACGUCCCUCCCUAAAUGAUACAACCAAUUUUUUAGAUAGAAAAUCACCUACCAGCUGGACCAAUAUGAUGAACCCAAUAAUGGAAAAUUUUGAAUCAUUAACUCGUAUCAAAAGGAGUACAGCUGAUGAUCAGAACUGUGGGCAUGGCAUCCAAAUGCGCCAAACCGGUUUAAUAUUUUGUGCCCCCCAAAAUCAAACUGCUUUAAUCAUAAUUCCAUAUGCGGCUCUCACCAAUGAUGCUCAAGAGAAUGGGCAGAAUUGGGGAUUUGGAUAUGACUGGUAUGCAACUAUAGGCUUUGGAUGGGAACACCUCAUUGGUGAAACAGGUUAUGAUUGGUCCAGUUGGUCACAAAAAACAGCAAAAGAACAUAGAAAGAAGUUUAACAUAAGCAAAACGGCCCAUAGUUUAAUAUUGAAAUACAAAUCAAGUCACCCAGUGUGUUUGAUGAUGAGCUUGUGGGCAUAUUCUGGCGGAAAAGAUCCCCAAUUCCGAGGAGCAUUGUGUUAUGGGAACCGUGUUAAACCAGAAAUGCCAUUGAAAACUUCAAAGAAAGGUGGACAAAUUUUAAUGGUUAACAACAUAACUACUGAUGAUUGGUUCCUUGUUGUCACAGGAGUUUCAGGACAAAAUAACAAUUGGUUACGAUUGUUAUUUUGUUAUUAUAACAAGCAGCAAAUGUAACGAGAAAAGAUUGUGUGGUUUGCAUGGGUCCCAGGCCUUUGUUGCGCAUAGUUCCAGCACAAUUAUCACAAGAUUGUAUUAUUCCAUUAAUGAACGCUACUGUACCAACUGAGAAGUGUAAAUCAUGGUCCUAUAUAUCCCGUAACAAAAGCAGAUAAACACAAACCAAUGUUUUCUACUUUAGUAGCACCGAAUAAUUUUACUUGUAUAAACAUGAUUAGUAAAGGCAAAAAAUUAGGACCACUGAACGACACACAGUGUAAAGUAACCUUAAAAAUCAGACCAAAGUUUAUGCCAGUAUCACGGAGCGACAUCUGGUGGUGGUGCGGAGAUGAUAGACUGUUUGAUAGAUUACCUAAAGAUAUAUCUGGAUUGUGCGCUAUUAUCACUUUGAUAUUGCAUGUGUCAGUAUACCCUAUGCUUGUUCAAGAUUUAAUGGAAAGGGCACCAAUGUUUUUGUCCAAUAUAGAACAUAGACAAAAAAGAGAUUUAUCCUGGCAGAGGCAAAAUUAUCCAACAUAAAACAUACAUCGACGCCAUAGGUGUUCCUCGUGGGGUUCCUAAUCAAUACAAAUUAGCUGACCAAGAUGCAGGAGGAUUUAAAUACUUCAUAUGCUGGUUGUGUACGAUUAAUAAAAAUGUUGAUGGGAUAAACUAUAUCCACUUCAAUGUACAGAGAUUAGGAAAUUGGACUCAGAGUGGGUUGGAAGCUGUGCACGAGCAGCUCAAGGACGUUCCAAAACCGCAUAGCUGUCGACAUGCUCCUCGCAAGAGAGGGAGGUGUUUGCGGUAUGUUUGGAGAACAAACAAUACUGCUUCAGAUGGCAGCUUGACCAGAGCCAUCGAUGGUCUACGGACCCUCAAUCAACACUCCUUGAGGGACAGCUGGAUGGACGUUUUUGGUAAAUACAAAACCCUAAUUUCACCAAUAUUGAUAUCAAUUGCUGUUUUUGCAGCCAUUCUGACAUGGUGUGGAUGUUGUUGUAUCCCAUGCAUUCGGGCUUUAAUCAGUAGAUUAAUCACCACAGCAAUUACCCACAUGGAACCGUAUGGAGCAGAUGUAUCCUUUAUUGGAUGUUGAUAAUGAUGACGACGAUGAUGAUGUUGUUUUACCUGAUUUGUUUCCUGAUCCAGGUGAUUACGAUGUUUAAACUACAACAUUCAUGUAUGACAAGUUUACUCUGAGUGGAAAUGUAUUUGUUUCAUUAAAAUGAUUCUACAGUUAAAAAAUCGAAAUGAAGUGACUGUAAAAUGAUAUGAGAAUUUGUGCAAAUACAUGAUAAACAGGAGGGAAAUGUUAAAUAUAUUGUAGAAGUUAUCAUUUAUUUGCUUAGCUUGCAUUAGUAUUAUAGAUGAUUUUGAGAAAGGAAGAUGUCUCGCCUUCAAGAAGAUGACUCAGCAGGAAUCAUCCGAUGGAAGGGCGCCUUGACCAAGGACGUGGCCGGGGACGUGGCAGGUGUUGGUGCCAUGUCUUCACCUUGAAACCCUACCCUUAGUGUGUUGUGUCUUGUAGCUUAGUACGUUUUGUCUUGUAAAACCUCCCUAUUUCAAAUAAAUGCAGGAGCGAUGGGAGAGAUUGUUUUGAGCGUGAUGAGAGGCUGUAAACUGAACAAUCUCCCAUAAACCCUCCUCAUGAGAAAAAGAAA